UACGUAGGGUGCAAGCGUUGUCCGGAAUUAUUGGGCGUAAAGAGCUCGUAGGCGGUCUGUCGCGUCUGCUGUGAAAACUCAGGGCUUAACCCUGAGCUUGCAGUGGGUACGGGCAGACUAGAGUGCGGUAGGGGAGACUGGAAUUCCUGGUGUAGCGGUGAAAUGCGCAGAUAUCAGGAGGGAACACCGGUGGCGAAAGGCGGGUCUCUGGGCCGUAACU
rnacentral:rRNA from 1 species